UACGUAGGGUGCAAGCGUUGUCCGGAAUUAUUGGGCGUAAAGAGCUCGUAGGCGGUUUGUCGCGUCUGCUGUGAAAACCCGAGGCUCAACCUCGGGCCUGCAGUGGGUACGGGCGGACUAGAGUUCGGUAGGGGAGACUGGAAUUCCUGGUGUAGCGGUGAAAUGCGCAGAUAUCAGGAGGAACACCGGUUGCGAAGGCGGGUCUUUGGGCCGAUACUGACGCUGAGGAGCGAAAGCGUGGGGAGCGAACAGG
rnacentral:rRNA from 1 species